rnacentral:rRNA from 1 species
AAACUUUUAACAACGGAUCUCUUGGCUCUCGCAUCGAUGAAGAACGCAGCGAAAUGCGAUAAGUAAUGUGAAUUGCAGAAUUCAGUGAAUCAUCGAAUCUUUGAACGCACCUUGCGCUCCUUGGUAUUCCGAGGAGCAUGCCUGUUUGAGUGUCAUAA